rnacentral:rRNA from 1 species
AUACGGAGGAUCCGAGCGUUAUCCGGAUUUAUUGGGUUUAAAGGGUGCGCAGGCGGCCAUUUAAGUCAGCGGUUAAAUCGUGGGGCUCAACCCCAUUCUGCCGUUGAUACUGGGUGGCUUGAUUGCGGUCGAGGUUGGCGGAAUUCGUUGUGUAGCGGUGAAAUGCAUAGAUAUGACGAAGAACACCGAUUGCGUAGGCAGCUGACCAGACCGCAAAUGACGCUCAUGCACGAAAGUGCGGGGAUCGAACAGGAUUAGAUACCCUGGUAGUCCGCACAGUAAACGAUGAAUACUUGUUUUCGGCGAUAUAAUGUCGGAGGCAAAGCGAAAGCGAUAAGUAUUCCACCUGGGGAGUACGCCGGCAGCGGUGAAACUCAAAGGAAUUGACGGGG